CCCCCGACUGCCCAUCCCCCCACUGGAGGCUCUCUUAAGUCAGUGCCUUCCUGGAAAAUGGUGUUAAACCACUGUGUUCUGGGGAAGCUGGUUUGGUCUGGGUCAUAUGCAGGCUUCAGAGUCUCCUGGGCGCCUAACUCUCCGUGGACUGUUCAUUUCACCACAGUGGCGGAUCUGUCUGUCCUGGAUGCCUGCAGCCUUUGGUUAUCACUUACAUGGGAGACUUUGAAUCUUCCCCUGGUCUCUUAAUAAAGAAGAAGAAAGAAGGCUUCUGGGAGCAGCUAUUUGGGAAGACUCUUCCCUCAGGACUGGAUUUUCAGAAGGCUCCAGGAAGGCCAGCUUCCCCAGUACAGCUGCCAGCGUAAAAGGGAGAUGCAGAAUACGGUCUCGCAGCAAUCAUGAGAGAAUGGGCAAAGCAAUGGAUGAAAUGUGGAGCCUUCCAACACAGGAGAAGUAAAAUUAAUCACAGCAUCUAUCAUUACUGCAUGUAACACUUCACACAAUCCUAAAGAAGGAAGAUGAUCAUAAUUUUCUUUUGCAAAUGAAAAUGAGACUCAGACAAGCUAAGAGAUCAACACGGAGGCAGAGGCAAGAAUCCAGAUGCCCUGCUUAGCUCUCACUUGGCACAGCCCAGACUCAUCUGAGAGGAUAGACCCUACUGGAGAAUUGCCUAGAUCAGCUGGCCUGCAGCAAUGGCUGUAGACUAUUGUCUUGUUACUUGACAUAGUAGGGCUCAGCCCACUGUGGUGGGCACCACUCCUUCCCUAGGUAGGUGAUCCUAAACCACAUACAAUGCUAGCUGAAAGUCAGUCUGUCUGUGAGCCAGAAAACAGUUCUCUACAGUUCCCACCAUGCUUAUUUGGGUGCAAAGACACUGGGAAGAAUAGCAAUGCCAGCCUGCCUUCAAAUUCCUGCUUGAGUUCCUGCCUUGUCUGCCCUUAAUGAUGGACUGUGACCUAGAGUUGUGAGCUCAAAUAAACUCUUCUUCCUGCCCUAA